CUGUCAUUCAACAGUAGUCAAUGUUGGUGAGAAGAGCUGUAGGUAAUACAGGUUAAAGUCAUGAACUGCCCAACCACGCUAGUUUUACUACUUCUUCAGCGUCUAAUUCCUUCCAGACGCCCCGGGUUUAUGCUUCCUGCACGUAGCUCCUUACAUUUCAAAAGACUCUUAACCAGGGAGAGUUUUUGGACUUGUUUUAAUAAGGGGGGAAGGUUUGGGGAUGAGGAGGAGCAACUUAUUGAGGAGAAGAGAGAGAAAAAAAGUUGAUGCCCACAACCAGCCAGCCAGCCAGCCAGCCCGCCAGCCAGCCAGCCAGCCAUCCAGCCAGC
rnacentral:lncRNA from 1 species